rnacentral:rRNA from 1 species
CACUGGGCGUAAAGCGUCUGUAGGUGGUUUAGUGUGUUCUUAGUUAAAUUAUGAAGCCUAACUUCAUGAAAAGUAAGAAAACUAUUAGACUUGAGUACGAUAGGGGUAAGAGGAAUUCUUCGAGAAGUAGUGAAAUGCGAAGAUACGAAGGAGAAGAUCAUAAGCGAAGGCUUCUUACUGGGUCGUAACUGACACUGAGAGACGAAAGCUAGGGGAGCGAAUGGGAUUAGAUACCCCAGUAGUCCUAGCUGUAAACGAUGGAUAUUCGGUGCCGGAAAUUUUAUUAGAACAUUUCGGUACCCUAGCUAACGCGUUAAAUAUCCCGCCUGAGGAGUACGCUCGCAAGGGUGAAACUCAAAGGAAUUGACGGGGGCUCGCACAAGCGGUGGAGCAUGUGGUUUAAUUCGAUGCAAAGCGAAGAACCUUACCAGGGCUUGACAGUAUGUAUAAGAGUCUUAACGGACUAUUUUAGAAAAUACAUAUACAGGUGGUGCAUGGCUGUCGUCAGCUCGUGUCGUGAGGUGUUGGGUUAAGUCCCGCAACGAGCGCAACCCUUGUUCGGAGUUAUAAGUAAACUUAAUUAUUCUUCGAAAACUGCCUAAACAUAAUAAUGUAGGAGGAAGGCGAGGAUGACGUCAAGUCAUUAUGCCCCUUAUGCUCUGGGCUACACACGUGCUACAAUGGGAGGUACAAUAAAAAGGUCUCUUCGUAAGAAGAGGUUAAAUAAAAUAAACCCUCUCUUAGUUCGGAUCGUAGACUGCAACUCGUUUACGUGAAGUUGGAAUCGCUAGUAAUCGCCGGUCAGACAUACGGCGGUGAAUAUGUUCUCGAGCCUUGUACACACCGCCCGUCACGCCACGGGAAUUAAUCUAUCUGGAAAUCUUUGUUAAGAGAUGAUGGAAAGAUCGAUAACUGGGGUGAAGUCGUAACAAGGUAGC